UACGGGGGGGGCAAGCGUUGUUCGGAAUUACUGGGCGUAAAGGGCUCGUAGGCGGCUCGUUAAGUCAGACGUGAAAGCCCUCGGCUUAACCGGGGAACGGCGUCUGAGACUGGCAAGCUUGAAUCCGGGAGAGGGAUGCGGAAUUCCAGGUGUAGCGGUGAAAUGCGUAGAUAUCUGGAGGAACACCGGUGGCGAAGGCGGCAUCCUGGACCGGUAUUGACGCUGAUGCGCGAAAGCCAGGGGAGCAAACGGG
rnacentral:rRNA from 1 species